UACGUAGGUCCCCGAGCGUUGCGCGAAUUCACUGGGCGUAAAGCGUCCGCAGCCGGAUGGGUAAGCGUUUCGUCAAAGCCCACCGCUCAACGGUGGAAUGGCGUAACGAACUGCCCAUCUUGAGGCACGCUCAGGCAGGCGGAAUUCCCGGUGUAGCGGUGAAAUGCGCAGAUAUCAGGAGGAACACCGGUGGCGAAGGCGGCUCUCUGGGGCUGAUCUGACGCUGAGGCGCGAAAGCUGGGGUAGCGAACAGGAUUAGAAACCCUAGUAGU
rnacentral:rRNA from 1 species